rnacentral:rRNA from 1 species
UACGUAGGGGCCGAGCGUUGUCCGGAUUCAUUGGGCGUAAAGAGCUCGUAGGCGGUCUGUCGCGUCUGCUGUGAAAACUCGGGGCUUAACCCCGGGCCUGCAGUGGGUACGGGCAGACUAGAGUGCGGUAGGGGAGACUGGAAUUCCUGGUGUAGCGGUGAAAUGCGCAGAUAUCAGGAGGAACACCGGUGGCGAAGGCGGGUCUCUGGGCCGUAACUGACGCUGAGGAGCGAAAGCAUGGGGAGCGAACAGG